rnacentral:lncRNA from 1 species
UAAGUAAAAGUAAAAAUGUAUAAAACACAUCUCAGUUAUUAUUUAUUUGGCUAAAUUACAGAAAACUCCCCUAUAAUAACCCACUUUUUCACUUUUUCUGACAUUUAAAAAUCUACACUUUGUCCCCUUGUAAAAUAAAAAAUAUUCACAGGGGAGUUACGGUGUGUAAAAUGAUCAUUUUGCCCCUCGUCAUUGUUGUCUUCUUCCUGAGCUUCCUCAGCCGCCCCUUCGAUCCGCCGCUAUUUCCACCUUAAUCGGCCACGAUUCCUCUCCAAUUUCUUCUCCACCUGCUCCCCUUCUCCUCCUACACCGUCGCCGCCCAUCGAUUUCGGCGACAGUAGGGAGGAUACUAAGAUGGGUGUUGAUGGAGAGGUAGGCAGGGACAACGAGGGCGAAGGCGAGGCGGCGGAGGAGGACGAAGGGGAUGUGGGCGAGGGCGAAGCAGUGGAGGACGGCGAGGCGG